rnacentral:rRNA from 1 species
ACUCAAAUGAAUUGACGGGGGCCCGCACAAGCGGCGGAGCAUGCGGAUUAAUUCGAUGCAACGCGAAGAACCUUACCUGGGUUUGACAUAUAGGGAAAUCUCGCAGAGAUGCGGGGUCCGUAAGGGUCCUAUACAGGUGGUGCAUGGCUGUCGUCAGCUCGUGUCGUGAGAUGUUGGGUUAAGUCCCGCAACGAGCGCAACCCUCGUCCUGUGUUGCCAGCACGCCUUUUUGGUGGUGGGGACUCAUAGGAGACUGCCGGGGUCAACUCGGAGGAAGGUGGGGAUGACGUCAAGUCAUCAUGCCCCUUAUGUCCAGGGCUUCACGCAUGCUACAAUGGCCGGUACAAAGGGCUGCGAAACUGUAAGGUGGAGCGAAUCCCAAAAAGCCGGUCUCAGUUCGGAUUGGGGUCUGCAACUCGACCCCAUGAAGUCGGAGUCGCUAGUAAUCGCAGAUCAGCAACGCUGCGGUGAAUACGUUCCCGGGCCUUGUACACACCGCCCGU